GAUGAACGCUGGCGGCGUGCCUAAUACAUGCAAGUCGAGCGAACAGACGAGGAGCUUGCUCCUUUGACGUUAGCGGCGGACGGGUGAGUAACACGUAGGUAACCUACCUAUAAGACUGGGAUAACUUCGGGAAACCGGAGCUAAUACCGGAUAAUAUUUCGAACCGCAUGGUUCGAUAGUGAAAGAUGGCUUUGCUAUCACUUAUAGAUGGACCUGCGCCGUAUUAGCUAGUUGGUAAGGUAACGGCUUACCAAGGCAACGAUACGUAGCCGACCUGAGAGGGUGAUCGGCCACACUGGAACUGAAACACGGUCCAGACUCCUACGGGAGGCAGCAGUAGGGAAUCUUCCGCAAUGGGCGAAAGCCUGACGGAGCAACGCCGCGUGAGUGAUGAAGGUCUUCGGAUCGUAAAACUCUGUUAUUAGGGAAGAACAAACGUGUAAGUAACUGUGCACGUCUUGACGGUACCUAAUCAGAAAGCCACGGCUAACUACGUG
rnacentral:rRNA from 1 species